rnacentral:rRNA from 1 species
AUGAACGCUGGCGGCGUGCCUAAUACAUGCCAGUCGAGCGAACGGACGAGAAGCUUGCUUCUCUGAUGUUAGCGGCGGACGGGUGAGUAACACGUGGAUAACCUACCUAUAAGACUGGGAUAACUUCGGGAAACCGGAGCUAAUACCGGAUAAUAUUUUGAACCGCAUGGUUCAAAAGUGAAAGACGGUCUUGCUGUCACUUAUAGAUGGAUCCGCGCUGCAUUAGCUAGUUGGUAAGGUAACGGCUUACCAAGGCAACGAUGCAUAGCCGACCUGAGAGGGUGAACGGCCACACUGGAACUGAGACACGGUCCAGACUCCUACGGGAGGCAGCAGUAGGGAAUCUUCCGCAAUGGGCGAAAGCCUGACGGAGCAACGCCGCGUGAGUGAUGAAGGUCUUCGGAUCGUAAAACUCUGUUAUCAGGGAAGAACAUAUGUGUAAGUAACUGUGCACAUCUUGACGGUACCUAAUCAGAAAGCCACGGCUAACUACGUG